GGUGGCACCGCUCGUGGCAAACAUUGGCUUUUGGCGAUGAACGGUGGAGCUUCAUGCAAGUAGCGCCGCAAGGUGCCGUGUGCAUGGGGCGAAGCUUAGUACUUGUUGAUCUCCAUUGGAUGUUGCGGGCAAAAUCGGGAGGCGACAUCGCUCGUGGCGGCUGAUGGCUUUUGACAACAGAACGGCAAAGCAUCGUGCAAGUAGCACCGCAAGGUGCCGUGCGCAUGGGGCGAAGCUCAGUAAGUUGUUGAUUGCCAUCGGUUGUUGUGGGUUGUGU
rnacentral:lncRNA from 1 species